AAUCAACGCUGGCGGCGUGCCUAACACAUGCAAGUCGAACGCGAAAGUCCCGCAAGGGGUGAGUAGAGUGGCAAACGGGUGAGUAACGCGUGGGCGACCUACCUUCGAGUGGGGGAUAACCUUCCGAAAGGAGGGCUAAUACCGCAUGACAUCCCGUGUUUGGAGACACGGACAUCAAAGCCGGGGAUCGCAAGACCUGGCGCUUGGAGAGGGGCCCGCGUCCGAUUAGCUAGUUGGUGGGGAACGGCCCACCAAGGCUCCGAUCGGUAUCCGGCCUGAGAGGGCGGACGGACACACUGGGACUGAGACACGGCCCAGACUCCUACGGGAGGCAGCAGUGGGGAAUUGUUCGCAAUGGGCGCAAGCCUGACGACGCAACGCCGCGUGGAGGAUGAAGACC
rnacentral:rRNA from 1 species